rnacentral:rRNA from 1 species
UACGUAGGGGGCAAGCGUUGUCCGGAUUUAUUGGGCGUAAAGAGCGUGUAGGCGGCCUGGAAGGUCAGCUGUGAAAACUCGAGGCUCAACCUCGAGACGUCGGUUGAAACCACCUGGCUAGAGUCCGGAAGAGGAGUGUGGAAUUCCCGGUGUAGCGGUGAAAUGCGCAGAUAUCGGGAAGAACACCUAUGGCGAAGGCAGCUCUCUGGGACGGUACUGACGCUGAGACGCGAAAGCGUGGGGAGCGAACAGG